GACUAUGUAGCUCAGUUGGCAGAGCAUUGGGCUAGUAUUCCAAAGGUCGUAGGUUCGGUUCCCACCGUGGCCG
rnacentral:tRNA from 1 species